rnacentral:rRNA from 1 species
GAUGAAGAACACAGUGAAAUGUGAUAAGUAAUGUGAAUUGCAGAAUUCAGUGAAUCAUUGAAUCUUUGAACGCAUCUUGCACCUUUUGGUAUUCCAAAAGGUACACCUGUUUGAGUGUCAUGA